UCUAAAUAUAGAACAAGAUUUAUACAAGUCAAUUAUGGUGAUUCCACCUAAAUAGUUCUCACAAAGUACAUCACUUGAGUACUUGUACCUGUUCAUUGUUCUAUCCAUUGUAUCUGUUAGGUUUUCUGACCUAGCGACCACUUCCGGUAAUGUAACCAUGUUGUGAGGUUGGGUUACAGGGUUCAGGAUGUAUAACUGUGGGUGUAGAAGUAUUUGUCGCCACUCUAGUAGGUGAGCAUGGUUACUCAUCCUGAGGUUAGGAGCAUUCUUCAUUGUUUCCUACUGAGUCCCAUAUUGCAGCUUGGUCACUAAAAUUGUCUUGAGAAGGUCUGGUUUUGAAGUAGCAUUAGGGAAAUGUUAAUUUCUUUCAGACGCAGUAGGAAUG
rnacentral:sRNA from 1 species